AUACGGAGGGUGCAAGCGUUAAUCGGAAUUACUGGGCGUAAAGCGUACGUAGGCGGUCCGUUAAGUUAGAUGUGAAAGCCCCGGGCUUAACCUGGGAACUGCAUUUAAAACUGGCGAACUAGAGUUGAGUAGAGGGGAGUGGAAUUUCAGGUGUAGCGGUGAAAUGCGUAGAGAUCUGAAGGAACACCAGUGGCGAAGGCGACUCCCUGGACUCGAACUGACGCUGAGGUACGAAAGCGUGGGUAGCAAACGGGAGUAGAAACCCCAGUAGUCC
rnacentral:rRNA from 1 species